UACGUAGGGGGCAAGCGUUGUCCGGAGUUACUGGGCGUAAAGCGCACGCAGGCGGUCUGCUAAGUUUGGAGUGACAGUUGGUGGCUCAACUACCAAAGUGCUUUGAAAACUGACAGACUUGAGGGCUUCAGAGGGACACGGAAUUCCGGGUGGAGUGGUGAAAUGCGUAGAGAUCCGGAGGAACACCAAAGGCGAAGGCAGUGUCCUGGGGAGUACCUGACGCUCAGGUGCGAAAGCCAGGGGAGCGAAUGGG
rnacentral:rRNA from 1 species